rnacentral:rRNA from 1 species
AUUGAACGCUGGCGGCAUGCCUUACACAUGCAAGUCGAACGGCAGCACGGGAGCAAUCCUGGUGGCGAGUGGCGAACGGGUGAGUAAUAUAUCGGAACGUGCCCAGUCGUGGGGAUAACGUAGCGAAAGCUACGCUAAUACCGCAUACGAUCUAUGGAUGAAAGCGGGGGAUCGCAAGACCUCGCGCGAUUGGAGCGGCCGAUAUCAGAUUAGGUAGUUGGUGGGGUAAAGGGCUCACCAAGCCAACGAUCUGUAGCUGGUCUGAGAGGACGACCAGCCACACUGGAACUGAGACACGGUCCAGACUCCUACGGGAGGCAGCAGUGGGGAAUUUUGGACAAUGGACGCAAGUCUGAUCCAGCCAUUCCGCGUGCAGGAUGAAGGCCCUCGGGUUGUAACUGCUUUGUACGGAACGAAAAGGUGAGCUCUAAUACAGUUUGUCUAAUGACGGUACCGUAAGAA